rnacentral:rRNA from 1 species
GACGAACGCUGGCGGCGUGCCUAAUACAUGCAAGUCGAACGAACCGCUACUAAGUGCUUGCACUAGGUUGAGGCGAGUGGCGGACGGGUGAGUAACACGUGGGUAACCUACCCUAUAGUGGGGGAUAACAGUCGGAAAUGAUUGCUAAUACCGCAUAGGACAUAGGGUCACAUCAUUCAUUGAGGAAAGGUGGCGCAAGCUAUCGCUACGAGUUGGACCCGCGGUGCAUUAGCUACUUGGUAGGGUAACGGCCUACCAAGGCGACGAUGCAUAGCCGAUCUGAGAGGGUGAUCGGACACACUGGGACAGAGACACGGCCCAAACUCCGACGGGAGGAAGCAGUAGGGAAUCUUCCGCGAUGGACGAAAGGCUGACGGAGCAGAGCCGCGUGAGUGAAGAAGGUCUGCGGAUCGUAAAGCUCUGUUGUUAGGGAGGAAGAGAACAUAGUGUAACUGCUAUGGGUAUGACGGUAUCUAACCAGAAAGCCACGGCUAACUACGUG